rnacentral:lncRNA from 1 species
CUGUUAUAUGGUGUGUGUGUGUUAGAUAGGGCUGAUUUGCCUGGCUGAAGACACAAAGCAGGAUUAUAAAGCCACUAGGGUUAGAGUUAUGGGUAGAGCAGGGCCCACCAGACACAGUAUGGAGAGAGAGAUAGAGAGAGAGAGAGGGGGAGGUAGAGAGAGGGAGAGGUAGAGAGAGAGAGAGAGAGGUAGAGAGAGUUAGGGGUAGAGCAGGGCCCACCAGACACAGUAUAGAGAGAGAGAGAGGUAGAGAGAGAGAGGUAGAGAGAGAGGUAGGUAGAGAGAGAGGUAGAGAGAGAGAGAGGGAGGUAGAGAGAGGUAGAGAGAGGGAGGUAGAGAGGUAGAGAGAGAGGUAGAGAGAGAGGUAGAGAGGUAGAGAGGGAGGUAGAGAGGUAGAGAGGUAGAGAGAGAGGUAGAGAGGUAGAGAGGUAGAGAGAGAGGUAGGGGUAGAGCAGGGCCCACCAGACACAGUAUGGAGAGUGGGAGGUAGAGAGAGAGAGGUAGAGAGAGAGGUAGGUAGAGAGAGAGGUAGAGAGAGGUAGAGAGAGAGAGGUAGAGAGAGAGGUAGGUAGAGAGAGAGGUAGAGAGAGAGAGGUAGAGAGAGAGGUAGGUAGAGAGAGAGGUAGAGAGAGAGAGAGAUAGAGAGAGGUAGAGAGAGAGAGGUAGAGAGAGUUAGGGGUAAAGAGAGAGGUAGAGAGAGAGGGAGGUAGAGAGAGAGAGAGAGAGAGAGAGGUAGAGAGAGGUAGAGAGAGAGAGAGAGGUAGAGAGAGAGAGAGAGAGAGAGAGAGAGAGAGAGAGAGAGAGAGAGAGAGAGAGAGAGAGAGAGAGAGAGAGAGAGAGAGAUGAGGACGAGAGACAGAGGGAGAGAGAGAUGAGGAAGAGAGACAGACAGAGAGACAGACAGAGGGAGAGACAGACAGAGGGAGAGAGACAGACAGAGAGACAGACAGAAGGAGAGAUGAGGAAGAGAGACAGACAGAGAGACAGACAGGGAGAGACAGACAGAGGGAGAGAUGAGGAAGAGAGACAGACAGAGAGACAGACAGAGGGAGAGAUGAGGGAGAGAGACAGACAGAGAGACAGACAGAAGGAGAGAUGAGGAAGAGAGACAGACAGAGAGACAGACAGAGGGAGAGAUGAGGGAGAGAGACAGACAGAGAGACAGACAGAGGGAGAGAUGAGGUAGAGAGACAGACAGAGAGACAGACAGAGGGAGAGAUGAGGAAGAGAGACAGACAGAGAGACAGACAGGGAGAGACAGACAGGGAGACAGACAGAGAGACAGACAGGGAGAGACAUGAGGAAGAGAGACAGACAGAGAGACAGACAGAAGGAGAGAUGAGGAAGAGAGAUAGACAGAGAGACAGACAGAAGGAGAGAUGAGGAAGAGAGACAGACAGAGAGACAGACAGAAGGAGAGAUGAGGAAGAGAGACAGACAGAGAGACAGACAGGGAGAGAUGAGGAAGAGAGACAGACAGAGAGACAGACAGACAGAGAGAGAGAUGAGGAAGAGAGACAGACAGAGAGAGAGAUGAGGAAGAGAGACAGACAGAGAGACAGACAGGGAGAGAUGAGGAAGAGAGACAGACAGAGAGACAGACAGGGAGAGACAUGAGGAAGAGAGACAGACAGAGAGACAGACAGAAGGAGAGAUGAGGAAGAGAGACAGACAGAGAGACAGACAGAGGGAGAGAUGAGGAAGAGAGACAGACAGAGAGACAGACAGAAGGAGAGAUGAGGAAGAGAGACAGACAGAGAGAGAGA